GUAUAUACAGGUGUAAAGGCAUGAAACAAUGUGCUUCUAUCUAUAUUCUUUGUGUUUAUAUAUACUAGAGUCUGUGGUUAUUAUAGUAUGAAUAUUCUAGGGUGCCAGUAGAAAGUAGCCUAGGGGUGCCAGAAGCUCAGGAUACUGUGGGCAACUUAUCUGGUAAUAUGAUUUCUACCUAGAUUUCUGACUAAUGACUUGAGCCACUAGAAAUAGGAUUGUACUUCUUGAAUGUUGGGUACCAAUCACAACUCACAAGUGUAGGUAUAAGCAAAGUGUCUAGAUUAUAGGCUUUAUAGGGUUGCACUGGAUCUUAUUAUACAGGCCAGAACUGAGAAAGUCACAUGCUAGUCAGACAUCAAGUCAGAAACAAUUUAAUUGGUAGAUAAUAUCACUUGCAGUCUAUGUAGGUGGAUUUAUUUGGGGUUUUGUUCAUUUCAGUCCUCUCUCUGUGCACCCCUGUAUCAGAUGCAACUACCUGAAACUAAGAAAUCAAUGAACUUCAACAUUUCAGGUGAAAGACCUAAUAUAGUAUUAUUUUUCAGGUAGUUGCAUGAUACAUUCAAGCCUUCAAAUAGUGUAAUGGCUUAAACUGCUUUUCUCAUUUCCUUUCUUCACUUUCUUACUCUUUUGUCUCUAAUGAAAACUUUAUUUUACAACAUUUUAAUUAUAUAAUUUCUUUUUGGUCUAAUUGCAGAAUUAAUUGAUGGUGAGAGACAGUUCACAGUUCAAACUCUUUAUUAAAGAAUAAUCAAUUAUCAAUUAUUAGAAAUAAUUAAUUUUGUUAGCAGUGAUAAAACUAUCCAGACAAGUUAUUAUUGUGACUUUGUAGCCAGAUGGGUAUGAUUUUGCAUUGGCUGUUCAGUAUUUUGAUCCAUUGUGAUAUGUCUUGUGGUAUCUGUGAAUGAUUUUACCUGCAAAAUGAAUGACAGAAUAUCAGAAUGUAACAUUACAUUAAGAUACAUCCUUACACUGCAAUAAAAUUAUGUAAUAGAUGUUCAGUGUGAAGAAUAUGGUCUUUGACACUCUUUGUAUAUAAUAAACAUGCUAUUAUGUAAUGGAAAUGAUCAAAUAAAGUUAUUUCUGCAACAGCCCUUGCAUUCAAACACCUUAUUUGUAUUUUUCUUGUUCAUGCUUGAGCAUCAGCCUCAGGAUAAGCAAAUUCCAUUGGAUUUGUGAGGGCACUUGAACUAUAUUGGGUCAUUAUACAUGAAUUACAGAAAAGAUUCAGACUCCCACAGCCUGUGCUACAAGUUACAGCUGUGACAGUGUAGAGGGGGGAUCCACAAGUAAAAU
rnacentral:lncRNA from 1 species